AGGUAUAACAAGAAGGGAGUCAAGUUUUGGUCUUUUCAGUUCUCAGCAUUUUGCCCCAGAGAGUUAUUAACAGCUUUUGCAAGUCAGAAGUAAAAAUGAAAGUGGAACUCAAACCAUGCUCUGACCCAAACUUAUGUUUGAGGACGACGUAGGCUCAUUGGGUGUAGGUUGAACUGAGUGGUCCCUAAGUGAAAGGAGAUGAAAAUUGAAGGAAGAAGAGGGGCAAAAAUCCCCAACACUAAGAGUAGGAAGAUGAGCUGGAUGGUUUCUACAAAUGGCAGACAGGACUCCCGAAUGGGAAGAGAAGAGGGAAACUGGCUGCAGGAUACAGAAGUAGGUUAACUGUUGAACCACGAGGUGUUGGCAACAGUAGUGAACAUUUCAUUUAUUAGGCCUGGGGUUGGAGAACAGGAGUCAGAAAACUCCAAUUCCACACAUGGCACCAUGCCUAAAAGAUGGUGGGGGGCAGAAUUGGUGGAAACAUCAGCUGAUCAGAGGAGACACAGCCCCAGUGGUAACUGCUAUGAAUUAAGAGUUUGG
rnacentral:lncRNA from 1 species